GACGAACGCUGGCGGCGUGCUUAACACAUGCAAGUCGAACGGAAAGGCCCUGCUUUUGUGGGGUGCUCGAGUGGCGAACGGGUGAGUAACACGUGAGUAACCUGCCCUUGACUUUGGGAUAACUUCAGGAAACUGGGGCUAAUACCGGAUAGGAGCUCCUGCUGCAUGGUGGGGGUUGGAAAGUUUCGGCGGUUGGGGAUGGACUCGCGGCUUAUCAGCUUGUUGGUGGGGUAGUGGCUUACCAAGGCUUUGACGGGUAGCCGGCCUGAGAGGGUGACCGGCCACAUUGGGACUGAGAUACGGCCCAGACGCCUACGGGAGGCAGCAGUGGGGAAUAUUGCACAAUGGGCGGAAGCCGGAUGCAGCAACGCCGCGUGCGGGAUGACGGCCUUCGGGUUGGAAACCGCUUUCGCCUGUGACGAAGCGUGAGUGACGGUAAUGGGGAAAGAAGCACCGGCUAACUACGU
rnacentral:rRNA from 1 species